rnacentral:rRNA from 1 species
GCAUAUCAAUAAGCGGAGGAAAAGAAACCAACAGGGAUUGCCUCAGUAACGGCGAGUGAAGCGGCAAGAGCUCAAAUUUGAAAGCUGGCCCCUUCGGGGUCCGCGUUGUAAUUUGCAGAGGAUGCUUCGGGUGCAGCCCCCGUCUAAGUGCCCUGGAACGGGCCGUCAUAGAGGGUGAGAAUCCCGUCUGGGACGGGGUGUCUGCGUCCGUGUGAAGCUCCUUCGACGAGUCGAGUUGUUUGGGAAUGCAGCUCUAAAUGGGUGGUAAAUUUCAUCUAAAGCUAAAUACUGGCCGGAGACCGAUAGCGCACAAGUAGAGUGAUCGAAAGAUGAAAAGCACUUUGAAAAGAGAGUUAAACAGCACGUGAAAUUGUUGAAAGGGAAGCGUUUGCGACCAGACUCGCCCGCGGGGUUCAGCCGGCAUUCGUGCCGGUGUACUUCCCCGUGGGCGGGCCAGCGUCGGUUUGGGCGGCCGGUCAAAGGCCCUCGGAAUGUAUCACCUCUCGGGGUGUCUUAUAGCCGAGGGUGCAAUGCGGCCUGCCUGGACCGAGGAACGCGCUUCGGCUCGGACGCUGGCGUAAUGGUCGUAAAUGACCCGUCUUGAAACACGGACCAAGGAGUCUAACAUCUACGCGAGUGUUCGGGUGUCAAACCCGUACGCGCAGUGAAAGCGAACGGAGGUGGGAGCCCCCUCGCGGGGCGCACCAUCGACCGAUCCUGAUGUCUUCGGAUGGAUUUGAGUACGAGCGUAGCUGUGGGGACCCGAAAGAUGGUGAACUAUGCCUGAAUAGGGCGAAGCCAGAGGAAACUCUGGUGGAGGCUCGCAGCGGUUCUGACGUGCAAAUCGAUCGUCAAAUUUGGGUAUAGGGGCGAAAGACUAAUCGAACCAUCUAGUAGCUAGUUCUGCGA